GGACCGGCGGUAGGGCCUAUGUGAAACUCCUUCGACGAGUCGAGUUGUUUGGGAAUGCAGCUCAAAAUGGGUGGUAAAUUUCAUCUAAAGCUAAAUAUUGGCCAGAGACCGAUAGCGCACAAGUAGAGUGAUCGAAAGAUGAAAAGCACUUUGAAAAGAGAGUUAAACAGUAUGUGAAAUUGUUGAAAGGGAAGCGCUUGCAACCAGACUUGAGCGCGGCGGUUCCCCCUUGCUUCUGCUUGGGUUACUCCGCCGUGUCCAGGCCAACAUCGGUUCUGGGGGUCGGUCAAAGGCUCUGGGAAUGUAUCUACCCACGGGUAGACUUAUAGACCAGGGUGUCAUGCGACCUCCCGGGACCGAGGAACGCGCUUCGGCUCGGAUGUUGGCGUAAUGGUUGUCAGCGACCCGUCUUGAAACACGGACCAAGGAGUCUAACAUCUAUGCGAGUGUUUGGGUGUCAAACCCGGAACGCGGAAUGAAAGUGAACGGAGGUAGGAAGCUUCGGCUGCACUAUCGACCGAUCC
rnacentral:rRNA from 1 species